UACGUAGGGUGCAGGCGUUAUUCGGAAUUACUGGGCGUAAAGCGUGCGUAGGCGGUCUGCUAAGACAGGUGUGAAAUCCCCGGGCUUAACCUGGGAACUGCAUUUGUGACUGCAUCGCUGGAGUGCGGAAGAGGGGGAUGGAAUUCCGCGUGUAGCAGUGAAAUGCGUAGAUAUGCGGAGGAACACCGAUGGCGAAGGCGAUCCCCUGGGCCUGCACUGACGCUCAUGCACGAAAGCGUGGGGAGCAAACAGG
rnacentral:rRNA from 1 species